rnacentral:rRNA from 1 species
GACGAACGCUGGCGGCGUGCCUAAUACAUGCAAGUCGAACGGACAGGCCCUGAUUUUGUGGGGUGCUCGUGUGGCGCAGGGGUGAGUAACACGUGAGUAACCUGUCCCUGUCUUUGGGAUAUAUUCAGGAAACUGGGGCUCUUACCGGAUAGGAGAUCCUGCAGCACGGUGGGGGUUGGAAAGAUUCGGCGGUUGGGGAUGGUUUCGCGGGUUAUCCGCUAGAUGGUGGGGUAGUGGCUUUCCAAGCCUGAGACGGGUAGCCGGCCUGAGAGGGUGAACGGCCACAAUGGUACUGAGAGACGGCCCAGACGCCAACGGGAGGCAGCAGUGGGAAAUAUGGCACAGUGAGCGGGAGCCUGAGGCAACGACGCCGCGUGCGUGAUGACGGCCUACGGGGGGUAAACCACUUUCGCCUGUGACGAAGCGUGAGUGACGGUAAUGGGUAAAGAAGCACCGGCUAACUACGUG